rnacentral:rRNA from 1 species
UUUUAUGGAGAGUUUGAUCCUGGCUCAGGAUGAACGCUGGCGGCGUGCCUAAUACAUGCAAGUCGAGCGAACAGACGAGGAGCUUGCUCCUCUGACGUUAGCGGCGGACGGGUGAGUAACACGUGGAUAACCUACCUAUAAGACUGGGAUAACUUCGGGAAACCGGAGCUAAUACC